CUUCAUCUUUCAUGUUAACUUCUGAUUUUCAAACAUUUUGGUCGUGAGGAUCAUCGAAGAUACCUUGAAUGUCUAAAUGCCCAUCUCUGGGGCAGAAAAGUUGGUACUGUUUAAGUUAUUAAAACGAAGUUAUAAUUAAUUUUUUUAUGCCCCCACAACUAAAAGUUGGGGGGCAUUUUGUUAUACCCCUGUCUGUCUACGUCCCAAAAUUGGUUUCCCUUCUCUAACUUUAGUUUGCCAUCAGCAGAUGUUAUGAAACUUAUACACAAUGCUUC
rnacentral:lncRNA from 1 species